rnacentral:rRNA from 1 species
AUACGGAGGGUGCAAGCGUUACUCGGAAUCACUGGGCGUAAAGCGCGCGCAGGCGGUCUUUUAAGUUGGAUGUGAAAGCCUACGGCUCAACCGUAGAACUGCAUCCAAAACUGUCAAGCUAGAGUCUGGGAGGGGAAGAUGGAAUUAGUUGUGUAGGGGUAAAAUCCGUAGAGAUAACUAGGAAUACCAAAAGCGAAGGCGAUCUUCUGGAACAGUACUGACACUGAGGCGCGAAAGCGUGGGGAGCAAACAGGAUUAGAAACCCGAGUAGUCC